GUUUCAAAUACUUGACUGAAACCUGUAGAAAAUGCCACUCCUUACAUUUUAUGGAAAAUAAGCUACGUGGACCUGGCUAGCUGCAGAAAGGGCUUAUCCAGGAACAUAUGUCUGUACGUUGAACUUGCAUAAUGAAGGCAAUUAUUUUCCAUUCAACCCCCCUAACACAUAUUACAACAUUCGUUCUCAGCAGCGGUGAGGAAAUGGAUCCAAACGGUUCCAGCUCCCCCUGGCCCUUUAUCAAGGAGCCUUUACAAGCACUGUAGACUGUAUUACUAAAUCAUUCCCUCUUACAAACGAUUACUAGCCCUGUCAUGUUAUCUACUCAGCUGGAACUGCAAAACCACUGCAACUAAAUUAAGCCAUAUGUCCUCUAUAAUUCCUUGCAGUGAUGAUGAACUCACACUACCUAGUUGAGAAGUAGGUGCAUGGGUUUUGUGUGUGUUUGUGUGCGGGUACGCAGACAGAAAUGCUCCACAACCACGGGCUCAGGUGAAGCUCUGCUUGGCACCCAGCCCUCCAGAGCAGACAGUGGUUAACGGGAUGUCUCCGUCUGAGUUUUCUAGCCACGAAGAAGCAGGAGGAAAAGGCUCUGGACACAUCAAAUGGAGCUGUCUACAAAGGGAAACGAAGAGGAUUAUGAGAUCUUUAUCGGGAUCUUUUUACAAGGCUGAUGUGUGAAAGCAAGAGCGUGGUGUGAAGGAACAUCUGCCACAUCGUUAACACAUAGAAGAUGGAAAGAAGGCCUAAAAGGCGAGCGUGGGAGUAUUUGGGGUGAAGAAGUUGUUCAAAAAAGACCUAAAAAGACACAGAAGGGAAAUCUUUUCCCUUGAUAUUAGUGCUGAUAAUGAAAACAGGUAAUGAAGUGAGAGCAUGGAAUGAGAUGGGAUAUAUCUCAUACCAACAUCGACAGGCUCAUGGUUAAGGUCAUUUCCCACCAGUUAAUGGAGACCUCCUGCCCCAAGCCAGGCAUGAACCAUGGUUAAGGUCAUUUCCCACCAGUUAAUGGAGUCCUCCACUGACCUCCUGCCCCAAGCCAGGCAUGAACCGCUGGCUGUCAGUGCUGCUGCCAAUGGGAAAUAUUUUUCUGCAGUACUCUGAUUCCAUCUUUCUGAAUCAUUUUUUGAACGUUUCAAGCCC
rnacentral:lncRNA from 1 species